CUCAGUUUAUGCACUGUGAUUUAAUUCACAAACAUUUAAUGUUUCGAAUAGCCAUUGUCAAUGUCCAGGGCUCUAGGCAGGUACUGUGACGAAGUGCCUUUCGCCACUUGUGCCUGGAGGACUGCUUGCCCGCCUCUUGCCCUGUGACUAUGGCCCCUGGGAUGUAUUGCCCUUUAAAGACAUGAUUUGGGCAUAAUGGAUUUGUGUUGUGCUGCUGCUGGCCCUUUAAGAACCAUUUGGGGACAUACUGUGGAGUUACUGGGUGGCCACCAUUUCCUGUAUCAGAAGCACAUGGUGAGAACAAUGGAUGGCGGCCAUUUUAACUCAGACACUGUGUGGACUUUUCAACACGGUGCCAUCUCGCCAGUAUUUGGUGCACAGAGACAUCGUGCAGUGGUUUUGGACUAUACAGCAGGGGACACAUUAUAAAGUGAUUGUUUUUCAUUUAGCCUGUAUAUGUUCUGCAGAAUCUGCAUUAAACUGUAUCUUCCAAAGUACUGAACGGAUCUGGGUGAAUUUUGGAUAUGUGGUUCACCCAGAUCCCCCGGUUCCAAGGAUAUACUUUUUAUGGGGUUAGUGCAUGUUUUGGGGUCCCUGUGAUGUAUAUUUUAGAAGUUAUGAAUGCUGUAAAAAUUGUACUAUUUCUGGCCAGCAGAUAAUUGAGCUUUGUGUAUUGUAAAAACUCAAUUAUCUAGCCUGGCCCAGAGGAGGAGUUUUGUGUUGCAUAAAUUGUGAGUUCUGUGUGCCAGUAAAUCAGUCUUGUUCCAGCAUUAAGCCUUGGCUCAUGUUUGGGGGAAGGGAUACCUACACUCUGGGGAUUGCUAUAAUCAUUUACUCCCCAGAGGAAGCUCUUGCAAUAGCUUGAUUUGUUCCUGUUCCUGCUCUCUGGGGAAAGAGAGGUUCACCCACUGGAAGCUGGAUCCUGGCCUUGGGUCCAGGGUGGGUGGAAACAGCAGAGACCCGGCGCAGUUGCAUCGCUGGAAGUGGGGUCUGCAGUGCUGAUGGUGUCGGUUGGAGUGCUUGGAGUCCUCAGCGAGCACUAGGAGCAUCGAUUGGCGGAGGUACUCAGUCGGAGUGCCAGCGUUCCGUCACAGGUACCUUGAGCCAAAAUUAUUUUGUGUGAUGACAAGUACAUUAUCAUUAUAGACAAGUAGAUUGGGCUAGUGCUCUAGUCCCUUGAAUAAGUAAAUUUUAAAAAAAUAUUUCCACAUACCGAGAUCCUGAAACUGCAGUUCUUGAUUUGGCCUGCCAAUGCUUAAAACAUGCAAAUAUGUUUAUGUAAAUUUUUAGCUUUCUGUAUAAAAUAAAUGAUAUGAUAUAAAAAAGAGAGAAACUGCUCAUACUGAGGCACCAUAAGCCAAUAUUUUAAUAUUCCAAAUUGAUUGUAUUAAGCUUUAUAGAGAAAAUUUAGAUUUGGAGGGCACAACCCAUUAGGAUAGGUGUUUUGUCAAUAAGCCUCAGAUUCUUCCCAGAGGUUUCUUAAUUUGGCUAGUCAAGUUUAAUUGCAAAGUGACAUCUACAGGGCAAACAUUUACUAGCAAUGCUAAAGGAAAAAAAAAAAUUCAAAUAACAUUCAACCCCUUUAAAGACCGGACUGUUUUAGCCAUGUUGUACAUUAAGGACCAGGGCUGUUUUAACACUUUUUUGUUGUGUUUGUGUUUAGCUGUAAUUUUCCUCUCUCUCAUUUACUGUUCCAAUACAAAUUAUACUUUUUUUUUUCAGGACAAGAAGGGCCUUCUUUACACACCAUUAUUUGUAACAUGUCAUAUAAUUUACU